CAGCAGGCGCGAAAACUUUGCAAUAAGCGAAAGCUUGACAGGGCUAUCCCGAGUGCCAUCCGCUGAGGAAGGCUUUUACCCAGUCUAGAACGCUGGGGGAAUAAGGAGAGGGCAAGUCUGGUGUCAGCCGCCGCGGUAAUACCAGCUCUCCGAGUGGUGUGGAUGUUUAUUGGGCCUAAAGCAUCCGUAGCUGGCUAAGUUAGUCCCCUGUUAAAUCCACCGAAUUAAUCGUUGGAUUGCGGGGGAUACUGCUUGGCUAGGGGACGAGAGAGGCAGACGGUAUUUCCGGGGUAGGGGUGAAAUCCUAUAAUCCCGGGAAGACCACCAGUGGCGAAGGCUGUCUGCUAGAACGCGCCCGACGGUGAGGGAUGAAAGCUGGGGGAGCGAACCGGAUUAGAUACCCGGGUAGUCCCAGCUGUAAACGAUGCAGACUAGGUGUUUGAACGGCCACGUGCCGUUCUAGUGCCGCAGGGAAGCUGUUAAGUCUGCCGCCUGGGGAGUACGAUCGCAAGAUUGAAACUUAAAGGAAUUGGCGGGGGAGCAC
rnacentral:rRNA from 1 species